rnacentral:rRNA from 1 species
CACGCAGGCGGUUCGAUAAGUUGGAUGUGAAAGCUCCUGGCUUAACUGGGAGAGGUCGUUCAAUACUAUCGGACUUGAGGAUGAGAGAGGGAGGUGGAAUUCCGGGUGUAGUGGUGGAAUGCGUAGAUAUUCGGAGGAACACCAGUGGCGAAAGCGGCCUCCUGGCUCAUAACUGACGCUCAUGUGCGAAAAGCUAGGGUAGCAAACG